UGUGGGAGCGGGCUUGCCUGCGGUGCAGACGCCUCGGUCGAUCAGUUGGACCGAGGAGAUGCCAUCGCAGGCAAGCCCGCUCCCACC
rnacentral:antisense_RNA from 1 species